UGCGCAGGUGGGCUUGUAAGUCAGUGGUGAAAUACUGCCGCUUAACGGUAGAACUGCCAUUGAUACUGCAAGUCUUGAAUAUGGUUGAGGUAGGCGGAAUGUGUCGUGUAGCGGUGAAAUGCAUAGAUAUGACACAGAACGCCGAUUGCGAAGGCAGCUUACUAAGCCAUUAUUGACGCUGAGGCACGAAAGCGUGGGUAGCGAACAGGAUUAGAUACCCUGGUAGUCC
rnacentral:rRNA from 1 species